rnacentral:rRNA from 1 species
AGCAGCCGCGGUAAUUCCAGCUCCAAUAGCGUAUAUUAAAGUUGUUGCAGUUAAAAAGCUCGUAGUUGAAUUUCGGGGUCAGUAGGUUGGUCGUGCCACUGGUAUGCACUGGUCUCACUGAUUCCUCCUUCCUGAUGAACCGUAAUGCCAUUAAUUUGGUGUUGCGGGGAAUCUGGACUGUUACUUUGAAAAAUUAGAGUGUUUAAAGCAGGCUAACGCCUGAAUACAUUAGCAUGGAAUAAUGAAAUAGGACGAUCGAUCCUAUUUUGUUGGUUUCUAGGAUUGACGUAAUGAUUAAUAGGGAUAGUUGGGGGCAUUAGUAUUCAAUUGUCAGAGGUGAAAUUCUUGGAUUUAUUGAAGACUAACUACUGCGAAAGCAUUUGCCGAGGAUGUUUUCAUUAAUCAAGAACGAAAGUUAGGGGAUCGAAGACGAUCAGAUACCGUCGUAGUCUUAACCAUAGACUAUGCCGACUAGGGAUCGGAUGAUGUUAAUUUUUAUGACU